CAGUAAAGCCCAACACUUGUAAAUAUAACAACAGUAAUCCUGUUUGAGUAUCAUCUUCUCGGAGCUUGGCUUGCAUAGACAUAGCAAUGAAUAAGCCCUUUAUCAGCUUUACUGAUGUCUAGAAACCAGAUGAGCUAUCUAGGAAUCAAGGUGGGCCACUUUAGAAGAAUAACAUCAGACCAAGGCCUCCUACCUUCAGCUCUACCUGGGAGAAUCUAUAAGGAAAACACUGCAGUGCCCCUCUGUCCGGUAAGAGCCAAAUACUCAGUUUUUAGCCAAGGAAGCUGGAAUUUGCAUGGGAAUUACUAUUUAUUUGCGGUCACAAUUUAUACUCCAAGAACAGGUAUGGUACCUGUUUUCUAGACUGCUUGGGAGCUUGGUUUUUUUCCGGAUAAGGGUUCUUUCUGUAAUUUGAAUCUAAAUAAGUCUGCUAAAAAUAAUGUA